rnacentral:hammerhead_ribozyme from 1 species
GUCCAGAUGACGAGUCCCAACCAGGACGAAACGUGCAUCGUGGAU